UAGGUCUGAAGCCUGCUUGAGAAUUAGUGGAGUGCAUUUGGCUUCCUGGUUCAUACUUUCCCCAAUGUCUGAAGUGGAGUUCAAAUUGUUUCAGGGGCUCAUGGUGUGCUCAGGCACAUCUCCUCUGAAUCAGGACCAAAUGCACUCCACCAGUUCUCAAGCAGGCUUCACAGCUACCACUGCAGAACCACAGGUCUUCCAAACUGCUGUCUGGACCAAGGGGACUUCUGAUCUGUCCUUCAGAACCAGGGGAGCUCAGACCCUCCCCAAUGGCCCAGGUAGCCCCAGUCUUAUCUGUCUAGAAACAAGGUAACUCACAACUUUCCCCAGUAACUCAGGGGAUUUUGGGUUUACCUCGUCAACAUCAAAAGCUUCAGCCAUUCCCCAGUGUUCAGGGGACAUUGACACAUCUUUCCUUUGAGAAGCAGAGGACAUCAGACAUUUACUAAUUGACAAGAGACAUUGACACACCUUUCCUUUGAGAACCAGAGGACCUCAGACAAUCAUUAAUUGACAAAUGGGCCUCAUACUUACCACUUCAGAACAAGGGUGUCAAACACAUUCUCAAUGACUGAAGGGGACCUUAGAUAUAUAACUUGAGAAGCAAGUGGCCACAGACCUCUUUAGUGUCCCAAGAAGGACACAAAUACAACCCCUAUAAAAUCAAUGUGCCAUAGAAUUUAUGCAAAGUCACAAUGGGGCUUCAGAAUUAUCCUUCCAGAACCAGGAGGAUUCAUACCUCCAGAUAAUAACUCCAUCGAGUAUUAGAUAUGCCCCCGGAGAAGAAACUAUCUCACUAAUUCAGGAGACUUACUUCUCACUGGAACAUCUUCUGAAGAGGGCCAUAGACUUAUUUCCUCCAACCAUAGAAGUCCCUGACUUUCAAGAUAUGCAAAAGCAGGGCUGCUGUAACACACCCUCUUUGAACAAGAAAACUUUAGACUUUGUCUGUCUGUACUGGAGGGGUCUGAGACAUGCCCCUUCGAUGAAGAAAGUUACAGAGCUGGCCCUGUGACUGAAGGGUGUGUCUCAAAUAUUUUCACUGCUGACAGGUACUUGAAACUGAGACCCCAUUACCAAGAAAACACAGGAGCUUCUCCUUGUGUUCCUGGCUGACUCUGGUCUACCAGACAUCUAAGAGAGACUAGAGCUUCUCUCUCAGACCUGAGUGACUAGGAAAUACACUCUUGACCACCAAAGGAACCUCAUGGAACGCUAGACUGAAAUCACAUGACAGAAGAAUAAAAACCUCACCCUGGACCCAAGGCCAUCUAUUUUCAAGCUGCUCACCAGAAAGAUGACUGUCCUCCACAUCCACACCUGUGCAGCUUAUCGUGAGUUUAAGUAGAGAACAGCCCCACCUGUCAGAAGAACCCUCUGGUUGCUGUCAAGCCUCAACAAGUCCUCAGAGAUAAGGAUUUUUCUAGAGUUCACUGAAGAUUUGGAGACUGACUAGGAGUGUCUAGACCCUCCUCCUCUAGAAAAGAUUCAGCUAAAGAUAUGAACAUCCUAACCUGUGGAGAAGAGUUAGAAGGCAAGGCAAUGCUGGCACCUUAUGAGAUUCUCUACAGAAACAGAGCAGUUCCAUCUUUGUUGCCCAUGCCUGUGCUGCUGAUGAAAGGCUUGUGGAGGAUGCAGAGCCAGGGAUUACCAACCAACCUAUAAGAAAAAUGCUCUGAGUGCUGGCAAGCAAGGCUCAGAGUCCAGAACACAAGGGUGUUCUGGAGUAUGAGGACGUUUGGACUUGAUAAGAUAUGUUCAGCUCAACACACCUUGAGGAAACACCAAUGCUUGCAUAACCACUUACCCUGUUGGAAAACUGUUAUGAGAUUUGCCUUAGACUCUCAAAGAUUUCACACAGGAUCAAUACAACCUCGAGGAAGCAUCAAAGUCCAGACAAUCACACAUCCUUUUGGAAGAGCGUUGUAAUUGCUUCUUGUACUCUUCCCAACAGUCAGUGUAAUAUAUGGAUAAUGGAAGGUGAAAAGAGCAGUUGGAAACACAUGAUGUAAAACCACACCAUUCUCCCACCACCCAAGACACUAAAGUGAAGAGGUCGCGUUCUUCAUGUACACACCAAUAUAGCUGGUGAUAAGAGGACUUAGAGACUGAGAUUGCCAAUCAUGACUGAUAAUAAUGCUCAGAUUGCUGCCAGGCCUGCCACAGUGUGCCUGGAGAUGUGAAUCUUCUACACUGUGAUGGAGUCCUUCCUCCACUGCACAAGCCCGCAAAAGAUAUGGAUACCCGACCUUCCACAUGACCCACAAAAGAUAUGGAUAUUCUAAAUACUGAAAAAAAAGUUGGAAGCUGACAGGGCAGUUCCAGGCAUUCCUCUGCUCCACAAGACCUGGGCAGCUGAACACACUCUUGAGAAGGAGAACUAGCUUGAGACUAUCGCGCAGACUUUUGGACAAAAUCUCAGACUGCUGCCUGCCCUGCCACAUGUUCACUACGGUGGACAGAUGUUUGAGUCUCCAAAGAAGAGCUGGAAGCUGAUAAGGCAGUACCUGGAAUGUGCUCCACUGCUUGAGAUUUGAGGUCUCACAGCUCAACACUAGUAAGGAGACCCUGGAACAGUAGUCAUCAAUCUUCAUGGCAUUCAACAGAACAUCAGAAAUGGAGUGGUCCCAACUUUAGUGCCCAGACCUGGAUGGCUGAACACCAACCUGUGAGGCUGGAAAAGCCACAGACACCAGCCACACUCUUGGAACAAUGUUUAGAUUACUGCAUAUCCUCCUGAAGAUGCCACAGAUGAUAUGGUUACUUUGUUGUUGUUGUUUUGAUUGCUCUUGUUCUCUUCUUGGUGGUGUUGCUUUCUUUUAACUUUAGAAGAGGGACAUCUUGAUAUUUUCUUGUUAAGUUAAUCAUCUACUGGCAUUAAAAUCCAGAAACCAAGUGCUUAAACGCUACCCAUGUUCUACUCUAUUUGGGAAUCACAAUGUGUGCAUAUCUUCCAACCUUUUGUUUCAAAGACAUACUGCUAUGUAAUUCUAUUUUACAAAUGUAAUCAUUUUAAUCAAUAUUCACAUGAAUAUAUAUUUUAUGUGCAAAA